GGUGGCCCAGUGGUAGAGCGCUUGCCUUGCAUGCGGGAGGCCCUGGGUUCAAUUCCUCAGCACCA
rnacentral:tRNA from 1 species